GCAGUGGUAGUCGAGUGGUAGAAUUCUCACCUUCAGUGGGGAAGACCUGGGUUUAAUUCCCAGUCAAUGUA
rnacentral:tRNA from 1 species